AUUGAACGCUGGCGGCAGGCCUAACACAUGCAAGUCGAACGAGUGGCGGACUGGUGAGUAAUGUCUGGGAAACUGCCUGAUGGACGGGUAUAACGGCUGGAAACCGUAGCUAAUACCGCAUACCAUCCGAUGGGCCCAGAUUGGAUGAGCUUGUUGGGGGGGUAACGGCGCACCAAGGCGACGCUCCCUAGCUGGCCUGAGAGGAUGACCGGCCACACUGGAACUGAGACACGGCCCAGACUCCUACGGGAGGCAGCAGUGGGGAAUAUUGGGCAAUGGGCGAAAGUCUGAUGCAGCAACGCCGCGUGUAUGAAGAAGGUCUUCGGGUUGUAAAGCACUUUCAUCGGGGAGGCGUUAUCCACAGAAAAAGCACCGGCUAACUACGUGCCAGCAGCCGCGGUAAUUC
rnacentral:rRNA from 1 species